rnacentral:rRNA from 1 species
GACGAACGCUGGCGGCGUGCCUAAUACAUGCAAGUUGAGCGCUGAAGGUUGGUACUUGUACCAACUGGAUGAGCAGCGAACGGGUGAGUAACGCGUGGGUAAUCUGCCUUUGAGCGGGGGACAACAUUUGGAAACGAAUGCUAAUACCGCAUAAAAACUUUAAACACAAGUUUUAAGUUUGAAAGAUGCAAUUGCAUCACUCAAAGAUGAUCCCGCGUUGUAUUAGCUAGUUGGUGAGGUAAAGGCUCACCAAGGCGAUGAUACAUAGCCGACCUGAGAGGGUGAGCGGCCACAUUGGGACUGAGACACGGCCCAAACUCCUACGGGAGGCAGCAGUAGGGAAUCUUCGGCAAUAGACGAAAGUCUGACCGAGCAACGCCGCGUGAGUGAAGAAGGUUUUCGGAUCGUAAAACUCUGUUGGUAGAGAAGAACGUUGGUGAGAGUGGAAAGCUCAUCAAGUGACGGUAACUACCCAGAAAGGGACGGCUAACUACGUG